GACGGAGGGUGCUAGCGUUGUUCGGAAUCACUGGGCGUAAAGGGCGCGUAGGCGGCUGGGACAGUCGGCUGUGAAAGCCCGGGGCUCAACCCCGGAGGUGCAGCCGAGACUGCCCGGCUGGAGGCCGGAAGAGGAGGGUGGAAUACCCAGUGUAGAGGUGAAAUUCGUAGAUAUUGGGUGGAACACCGGUGGCGAAAGCGGCUCUCUGGUCCGGUCCUGACGCUGAGGAGCGAAAGCGUGGGGAGCAAACAGG
rnacentral:rRNA from 1 species